AAUAUUUUCUCUUUGUCUUCAAUUUUUGUCAGUUUGAUUAAUAUGUGUCUUGGCAUGUUCCUCCUUGGGCUUAACCUAUAUGGGACUCUGUACUUCCUGGACUUGAGUGUUUUCUUUCCCAUGUUAGCAAAGUUUUCAGCUAUAAGCUUUUCAAAUAUUUUCUAAGAGAGACCCUUUGUCUCUCUCAUCUUCUUUUGGGACUGCUAUAAUGUGAAUAUUGGUGUGUUUAAUGGUGUCCCAGAGGUCUCUGAGACUGUCCUCAUUUAUUAAAACAUCAAACCAUAGUUAAUACUGCAUUGCAUAUUUGAAAGUUAAGAGAGUAAGCAAUGGGAUCCUGCUGUGUAGCACUGGGAACUCUGUCUAGUCACUUAUGAUGGAACAUGUAUCGUGUGAAAAACGAAUGUAUAUAUGUAAGUGUAAUUGGGUCACCAUGCUGUAUAUAUAUAAGAUUAAAAAAAGUUCUCAUCACAAGAAAAAAAUCUGUAACUAUGUGUGGUUAUGGAUGUUAACGCAACUUAUUGUGGUAGUCAUUUCACAAUGUAAACAUAUAAAUCAUUAUGUUGUUUACCCAAAACUAGUAUAUCACAUAUGAAUUAUAUCUCAAUUAAAAAAUUUUUAUAAAUAAUAAAAAAUUUCUCUUCCAUCCACAGGCUUUACACCCAUCACUAUGGUUACUUGCUAUUUAAUGUUGCACUCCCUUGUGCAUGAGACUAUUUUUAGUGCAGACCCUAUAAGCUCCUGGCAGCCUUCUCCACCAGUUCAUGUGUGUGUGUGGCAUCUACUCACUGCUGUGCUGACAUAUAUGCCCUAGCUUGGGGGAGGCUGGAGCAGGAGAGUUGGGCAUCUCCCCUUCCUCAACCCAUGGUGGAUAGGUGUACUGAAUGGGUGAGUGAGAGGCUAGAAGCUGCUGAGUUUAUGGAUAAAGACGUUAUAGUUCUACUAGCCUAGGGCGGAGAUGGUGUUGCUAUGAGCUUCUCUUGAGAACUCUGGCCCUGGUCCUUUCCCUCCCUGUACCAGCAUGCAGGAGCUUGCUAGGGGUAUGGAAAAGGGUAAUAACAAUUGUUGGGUGGCAAUGGGGAGAGGGGAUCAGGUGAAGCCCAGGGCACCAGAGAGUGGAGAGGCAGAACCACAGCCCAGCUGGGUCUCCAAGCUUCCAGGGCUUACUCCAUUGAUCUGUUGGAUUUCACUUACAAAACGCAGAUUCCAGGACUGUAACUGCAGAGCAUUAAGCCUCAAGUGUAGGAUCCACUUCUGAGCACAAGGCCCUGUGUGGCUAUGCAGGUCCUGUGUCCUAAAACCUGCCCAGGUGAUUAUCUCAUGAGACUUAAGGACAAUACCAUAAGGGAGCUACUUUUACUCUCAUUCAGUAGAAGAGGAGACUGAGACCUUAUGCAGCUUGCAUCAAGCCCUGGGGAAGCAGAGGUAACAUUUGGUAAUAAUUGAAAUGAAUCCAAUAGAAUCUCUCUGGAGUCAGUGAAUAUGUGAAUUGGGCUGCUGAAGCAUACCCUCAACUUGCCUAGAUUAGUAAACCAAUACUUAGGUACUGCUAACUUCCUCAGAAUAAAAAUCACAAUGCAUUCUCCUUCCAACAAAGAACAUUAUUCCAGCAAUAUUAUGAAGAAUUUUCAUUGUUUGAUCAGAAAUCUAACUCCUAUGAUGAUGGUCAAUGAUUUUUUUCUCAGCAAUUUAUAUUCAUUCAUUGAGCAAUUCAGCAAAUAACUACUGGGCAUCUUUCAUACGCAAAAUUUUGCUUCCAUUUUUUUGUGAAUAUAAAUGUGAUAAUACCUGACCUCUUCCCUCUAGGGAUUUAUUUGUGCCAGAAAACUUUCCAACACUAUCCUUAAUACAAAGUCAGCACGGAAAAGGCUCUAAGGCUCAACAGCUGUGGAGGAGUGAGGGGUUCAAAGAAGAGGGGCCUCUUGGAGGUGAUGUAACAAAGCUUCUUGCUCUUUAAGAUGGCCUUGGAGAAUGGGAAGGGCUUUGUAUGUGACAGCUGUGAGGAGAGAACAGCAAGGGCAAAUCCAUAGUGGUUGGAAAAGCAUGAAGCCUAUCCUGGGAACUGUCCCUCUUCCAAUUCAAACAUGUGUUUCCACAACCUUACCUGACCUUUUCCUUGGCCACAACUGACUGAUCUAGAGGUAUGCUUCUCUGGGAUUUUUUUUUCCUUUUUUUUUUUUUUUUUUUUUUUUCUUCCCUAAACUGAUUCUGAGAAUGAGAUGUCUGUUUGGGUUGUAGAAGCUGUGGGAUGCACUCCUGGGUGCCUUAGGUGGUAGCAUUUCUCAGAGUGGAGGGGAUGCCAUAUCCAUGAAGAGAAUAAAUGAAGGUGAUAGGUAGAGAAGCAGAGAAAAGGUGGGAGGGAGCAUUCAUCUUCUCAUUUCCUGGUUUUCUCAAGGCUCACAGGUUACAUCAGUCUUCUGUUGGUGGGUGUCCCAGUGUCUUUCCAGCCAAGCUCUCUUCUGCCUAGACGACUUUGAGGGGAGGCAGGGAUGACUCAGAAGACAUGGUCCACGCUAGUCCUCAGACUUGGCUCCUUUCUCUCCUGCCUCGUCAGAAACCAGACUCUUCAUUUUCACUUUCUCCAAUUUCUGCAGG